rnacentral:rRNA from 1 species
AAGCGGUGGAUGAUGUGGUUUAAUUCGAUGCAACGCGAAAACCUUACCCACCUUUGACAUGUACGGAACCCUUUAGAGAUAGAGGGGUGCUCGAAAGAGAGCCGUAACACAGGUGCUGCAUGGCUGUCGUCAGCUCGUGUCGUGAGAUGUUGGGUUAAGUCCCGCAACGAGCGCAACCCUUGUCAUUAGUUGCUACAUUCAGUUGGGCACCUAUAGAGACUGCCGGUGACAAGCCGGAGGAAGGUGGGGAUGACGUCAAGUCCUCAUGGCCCUUAUAGGUGGGGCUACACACGUCAUACAAUGGCUGGUACAAAGGGUUGCCAACCCGCGAGGGGGAGCUAAUCCCAUAAAGCCAGUCGUAGUCCGGAUCGUAGUCUGCAACUCGACUACGUGAAGUCGGAAUCGCUAGUAAUCGUGGAUCAGAAUGUCACGGUGAAUACGUUCCCGGGUCUU